UUCCCUUCCACAGAACACUGUAG
rnacentral:piRNA from 1 species